AGCUAGGUCUAACAUUGUUAUGAUUGACAGAUUAAGAGUUCUUUCUCGAUUCUAUGGGUGGUGGUGCAUGGCCGUUCUUAGUCGGUGAGGUGACUUGUCUGGUUCAUUCCGACAACGGACGAGACCUCGACCUACUAAUUAACAAUAUUCAUUCUGAUGGAUAAUCGUUACUUAGGGGGACACUGUGUGCAAACGCAGGGAAGUCCGAGCCUAUAACAGGUCUGUGAUGCCCUUAGAUGGCCUGGGCUGCACGUGCGCUACAAUGGAUAAAUUAGCAAGAUCCUCCUCUGAUAAGAGCAGGAAAUCUUUUGAAAUUUAUCCGUGAUUGGGAUCGAUCAUUGCAAUUAUUGAUCGUGAACGAGGAAUUCCUAGUAAGGACAAGUCAUCAUCUUGUGCUGAUGAUGUCCCUGCCCUUUGUACACACCGCCCGUCGCUUCAACCGAUUGGGAUGAUCCGGGCAAAGUGGAUGG
rnacentral:rRNA from 1 species